AUGACCAUGCGCCAGCGGUUGAAGUUGACGGCGCCCAGAUACCUUGAACUAGAUGUAGCUGCCGAUGUUGACGCCGUGGAUCGAGGGGGCGACAGAGGGGGUGCAGGUAGUGGGGAGGGACGUGAGCGGCAGCAUACCGGCGUCGGUUGGAGCAGCGAGAGGGAGGGAGCCAUCACGGGAGGUGUCAUCAGUGACCUUGGCGCGGGGACAAGGGAAGGACGCAAGGGGUGCGCCUCCACUGUUGGCAGCCUGCUCAUCGGCCCGUUCAGCGACGAGGUCAUCGCUGGUGACGGAGCCGGCGGGUGA
rnacentral:rRNA from 1 species